AGAAAAUUGCAACUUUUGGCCCAAAGGUUUGAAUAAUUAAAUUCAAACCUAUAGUUUUUUUUUAAUAUAAUUUUGGGACUCACAAUCCCAUUUUUAUAUUAUUUUUCUCUCUUCCUCUCACGUUGCUCGGCGUUUUCUCACAAGGGGGGAUUAUUUUCUUUUUCUUCAGAUUAUAUUGACAAAGAUAGUGGUGAAAAAGGAGUUGUGAAGGGGAACUUGUUAUUCAAGACACAAGGAGCGAAUCCGGCCGAGAAAGCACCAGAGGUGUAACUGUGGUGUAUGAGACACCAUCUUUUACGUUGCCUCUUAUUUUAGAUUAUACAAUGUAUCUUGUGCCAACUUAGG